AGAGUUUGAUCCUGGCUCAGAGCGAACGCUGGCGGCAGGCUUAACACAUGCAAGUCGAACGGGCACCUUCGGGUGUCAGUGGCAGACGGGUGAGUAACACGUGGGAACGUACCCUUCGGUUCGGAAUAACUCAGGGAAACUUGAGCUAAUACCGGAUACGCCCUUUUGGGGAAAGGUUUACUGCCGAAGGAUCGGCCCGCGUCUGAUUAGCUUGUUGGUGGGGUAACGGCCUACCAAGGCGACGAUCAGUAGCUGGUCUGAGAGGAUGAUCAGCCACACUGGGACUGAGACACGGCCCAGACUCCUACGGGAGGCAGCAGUGGGGAAUAUUGGACAAUGGGCGCAAGCCUGAUCCAGCCAUGCCGCGUGAGUGAUGAAGGCCUUAGGGUUGUAAAGCUCUUUUGUCCGGGACGAUAAUGACGGUACCGGAAGAAUAAGCCCCGGCUAACUUCGUGCCAGCAGCCGCGGUAAUACGAAGGGGGCUAGCGUUGCUCGGAAUCACUGGGCGUAAAGGGCGCGUAGGCGGCCGAUUAAGUCGGGGGUGAAAGCCUGUGGCUCAACCACAGAAUUGCCUUCGAUACUGGUUGGCUUGAGACCGGAAGAGGACAGCGGAACUGCGAGUGUAGAGGUGAAAUUCGUAGAUAUUCGCAAGAACACCAGUGGCGAAGGCGGCUGUCUGGUCCGGUUCUGNNGCUGAGGCGCGAAAGCGUGGGGAGCAAACAGGAUUAGAUACCCUAGUAGUCC
rnacentral:rRNA from 1 species